rnacentral:rRNA from 1 species
AGUGAACGCUGGCGGUAGACCUAACACAUGCAAGUCGAACGGCAGCACAGUAAGAGCUUGCUCUUACGGGUGGCGAGUGGCGGACGGGUGAGGAACACAUCGGAAUCUACUUUUUCGUGGGGGAUAACGUAGGGAAACUUACGCUAAUACCGCAUACGACCUACGGGUGAAAGCAGGGGAUCUUCGGACCUUGCGCGAUUGAAUGAGCCGAUGUCGGAUUAGCUAGUUGGCGGGGUAAAGGCCCACCAAGGCGACGAUCCGUAGCUGGUCUGAGAGGAUGAUCAGCCACACUGGAACUGAGACACGGUCCAGACUCCUACGGGAGGCAGCAGUGGGGAAUAUUGGACAAUGGGCGCAAGCCUGAUCCAGCCAUACCGCGUGGGUGAAGAAGGCCUUCGGGUUGUAAAGCCCUUUUGUUGGGAAAGAAAAGCAGCAGGUUAAUACCCCGCUGUUCUGACGGUACCCAAAGAAUAAGCACCGGCUAACUUCGUG